GCCCUGACCGGACCACAGCUCCCAGCAUGCCUUUGGCGGGAAGUCUUUUCCCGCUGGAUGACUACUAAUCCCGGCAUGCCAUUCGGUACUCCAGUAAAUUAGAUGGAAGAGUGGAAUGACCCCAAUGAGCGCAGGGAAUUGUAGUCCGUUUAGCUGCUGGCUUUUAGAGGGGCGGGGAAGAGCCGGGUCGCUCUCGUCAGCUGAGGAGAAUGAUUCAUAGAGGAGGGUCAGGAGAGAACAGUUCUGGCUGCGAAAGCCCACUUAAAAGGCUGGACUCUUCCGCGAGGGAGGGAGAGGCAGGAGAGUAAGCGAGGCCUCGGGCCUGACCUCGCCUCAGGCCGCUCGUCAGGCCUCCAUCGAGUCCUGGGCCUUGUCGGGGGCGGCCGCGAGGCGCCGGUUGCUGGGGGACCGGUGACGUCGCGGGGUGAAAGUUGAGGGGCGGUGACGUCGGCCCUGCCCGGGCGGAGGCUGGCGGGUUGGAGGCAGGAGGGAGGGAGGGAAGGAGGGAAGGAAGGAAGCUGGGAACGAGCGAGCGAGCGGGGGCGCGAGGCGUUUACCUGGAGGCAGCGGCUUGGGCGCGCUGAGCGGCCGCGGCUCCCCCGCACCUGCGGCCAUGGAUGAGGAGCGCGCCCUCUACAUCGUCCGGGCCGGCGAGGCGGGGGCUAUCGAGCGGGUCCUGAGGGAUUACAGCGAUAAGCAUAGGGCUACUUUCAAAUUUGAAUCAACAGAUGAAGAUAAAAGAAAGAAACUCUGUGAAGGUAUAUUUAAAGUCCUUGUAAAGGACAUCCCAACAACAUGUCAAGUGUCUUGCCUGGAAGUUCUCCGCAUUCUCUCCAGAGACAAAAAAGUUUUAGUUCCUGUAACAACCAAGGAAAAUAUGCAGAUACUGCUGCGACUAGCCAAGCUAAAUGAGUCGGAUGAUUCUUUGGAGAAGGUGUCCGAGUUCCCAGUUAUUGUGGAGUCAUUAAAAUGUCUGUGUAACAUAGUGUUCAACAGUCAAAUGGCACAGCAGCUCAGCCUGGAACUUAACCUUGCUGCAAAGCUCUGUAACCUCCUGAGAAAGUGCAAGGACCGAAAGUUUAUCAGUGACAUUAAAUGCUUUGACUUGCGCUUGCUCUUCCUCCUGUCACUUUUGCACACCGACAUCAGGUCACAAUUGCGCUAUGACCUUCAGGGACUAGCGCUGCUAACCCAGAUCUUGGAAAGUGCCUUUAGCAUCAAGUGGACCGAUGAGUAUGAAUCGGCCAUAGACCGUAAUGGACCUCCUCUCUCACCUCAGGAGACAGACUGUGCCAUCGAGGCCCUCAAAGCUCUCUUCAAUGUGACAGUAGACAGUUGGAAGGCACAUAAAGAGAGUGAUUCUCAUCAGUUCCGUGUCAUGGCAGCUGUCCUUCGCCAUUGUUUACUAAUCGUAGGUCCAACUGAAGACAAAACAGAAGAGCUGCACAGCAAUGCAGUCAACCUUUUAAGCAAUGUUCCGGUCUCUUGUUUGGAUGUUCUCAUUUGUCCAUUAACCCAUGAAGAAACAGCCCAAGAGGCAACGACUCUAGAUGAACUGCCCAAUGAUAAAACAGCUGAGAAAGAAACUGUUUUGAAAAACAAUACCAUGGUAUACAAUGGUAUGAAUAUGGAAGCCAUUCAUGUUUUACUCAAUUUUAUGGAGAAGAGAAUAGACAAGGGAAGCAGCUAUAGAGAAGGUCUAACUCCGGUUCUCAGCUUAUUAACAGAAUGUUCCCGAGCCCAUCGAAACAUCAGAAAAUUUCUCAAAGAUCAGGUUUUACCACCAUUGAGGGAUGUGACAAAUCGUCCUGAAGUUGGCUCAACUGUGAGAAAUAAGCUGGUGCGCCUCAUGACACAUGUUGACCUUGGAGUCAAGCAGAUUGCUGCUGAAUUCCUUUUUGUCCUUUGCAAAGAGAGAGUGGAUAGCCUGCUGAAAUACACUGGCUAUGGGAAUGCUGCAGGACUGUUGGCGGCCAGGGGCCUCUUGGCUGGAGGAAGAGGAGAUAAUUGGUACUCAGAGGACGAGGACACAGACACUGAAGAAUACAAAAAUGCAAAACCAAACAUUAAUCUUAUCACUGGUCAUUUAGAGGAACCAAUGCCAAACCCCAUAGAUGAAAUGACAGAAGAACAAAAAGAAUAUGAAGCCAUGAAACUUGUCAACAUGCUUGAUAAACUCUCCAGGAGAGCAGAUGUGAAGGACCCGCACCAGGAUGGUGGUUAGCAACAGUGGCCCGUGCCAAAGCACUUACCAAAGUGAUGAUUAAGGUUGGUCAUGCCAAGUACUGUUACUGAGCCUGGUGUAGGGUGUAGAUGUCAUCUACUACCAAAACUGUAAAACCACCGAUUCAAAAAUUAAAGUCACAUUUCCAUUUUGCCUCCAUGCUGGACAUAGUGACUGCCACAAGGAGCUCACCACCUUGGCAGCUUUAUCACAGCUACACUUCCAAGGACACUGGAGAGAUUCGUGUUCCAACACUUUCUUCCCGUUGAAUACCAGCUGACUUAGUAAUAUUCCUAGUGAUUUUGUGUGUGUGUGUGUGUGUGUGUGUGUGGAUUGUAUUUGUGACAGAUGUAGGUAAGGGGAUUGGCAGUGGACCUGGAGGUCUUAAGAGUUUGAAAAUAAUCUGAACCCUGUAAAUCCCAUCAUGGCUAGCUAGUACAGUGCCUUGUACCCUGUGGUUUCCCUAGUGUGUGAUGAGGAAAUAAUGAACACAGCUGAUCCCCAAAUCUGUUGGGCAGCUUUUGGCUCUAUAAAAUACCCUAUAUGGUUUAAGACUUUAAACUUUACCUUUGUCAGUUCCAUUUCUUGGCCAGAUAUAAUGACUAAUUUGAAUCUUGGGGUACAUAAUUUCUUUAAAAUAAUCAUUGUAAUAUGUAGCAAACAAACAUAAGCAUUAAGGCCUGAGGCAGGAGAUUAAAAAUGUCAAAUGAAGCUUUCUAUAAUGUGAGAGCAGAGCUGAAAAAGGGAAUGAAAUUUGCCUUCCUCUCCACCUGCUCUUUCCUUCUUUGAAUUGGAAAAAAAAAUAAGCCCCCACAACUUAAGUGGGGGAUUAGAAUGGGGACUGUGUGUGUGUAUACGCAAGUCCACUGUGGCUAAUACAAUUGCGUCCACCUUAGCUACAGCACACAGCUCGUGUGUAAUAAUGACGCCUCCUCCAGAAGAAGGGAGAGAGGAUUGACUGGCUUAAGCGUAAACGAACCAAAGGAAAUAAUAUUUCAAGUUUCAGUUUUGUUUUGAUUUUCUAAUCCCCUUUAGUUUCUUAAUUGGAAUCAGGCACUGAUUAGUCUUCUACCCCACCCUUACCCGGUCACAUUUAACAACAUUUAACAAUGUACAUUGAUUGCUUUUUUGCUUAUAUAUUUUAUCCAAAUCUAAAAUUUACAUUUAAAUAAUUUUCCCAUUUCUUAUCUAUUCCAUAUCAUAUAUAUAUUUUUUACAGCCAUUGUGUAGUAUUUGAGACAUGGCUUUCUUAAUUAAUGCAGGUUCCAAAUAUGGGAUUCUCUUUAGACUUACUAAAGCUGGGACGAGCAAUCAAUGACUGAAAAGCAAUACGUAACUUUAUUCCUUAUGAAUAAGUUACUCUACUCACAUAAAAAAAAAAACCUGUGAUCACAUCCACCUUUAUGAUAAGUUAGUUAAGGACGUGCUUUUCAGGUAUGGUUCAGAAACAUGUUGCAGUUUUUAAAGUGUUUUGAGAUCUACUGUAGGUUCAAAAGUGUAAAGAUUGUAAUUGUUUAUAUCGGAAAAUCUUUUAGAUCUGUGCUGUCCAAUACGGUAACCACCAGCCAUAUACUACUGAGAGCUUGAAGUGUGGUUAAUCUGAAUUGGGAUGUCCUAUAAGGGUUAAAUACUCAGACUUUCAAAAACUCAGUAUAAAAAGAGAAAUGUAAAAUAUCUCAAUUGUUUAAUAUGGAUUUUAUGUUGAAAUAUUUUUUAUAUACUGGGUUAACAAAAUAUAUUAAAGUCAAAGUCAGUUUUACUUAUCUUUUUCAGUGUGGUUACUAGAAUAUUUUAAGAUUCCAUAUAUGGCUUAUGUUAUAUUCACAUAUGGCAACACUAUUCUGAUAUCAUUAAAAUACACUGUAAGGUUGCCUGGAAGUUCAAUUAAGGGAACUUGGAUCCAGUUAAGUUAAUAUGCCCUUAAAGUGGCAAGGGAGGAUUAAUUUGAGAAAGUUAGUAUUGUGUAUCUUUAGGUUAUAGAGGGCCUUCACUGGCUAGACACCUCUGAGUAGGAUGUCAUGCUCCCUUUGUAUUGCCUGUUGGUAGUCACUGUCCUUUAAGCUCUGUAGAAGGAAUGAUUACUUUGAGCUCUUAGUUUAAGCACUAGCUGAAAUGGCUUCUAAUAGAGAAACCUCAAAUAAGAAUAAUGUCCCCUGGCUGUUUGUGCUGUUAGCUACCCUCCUUCAACUUUUAAGUCUUUCUGAUUGGGGACAGCAUGUAAGAAUUUCAAUUUCUGCUGCUAUAUUCAACAGUGUCAGUUGGCACGCUGACCUCUUAUUUAUUUUACUAAUUUGGACAACAGGAUAGAAAACUCCUGUGGAGAAAUUACCAAGAAAUAAGAAUGCCUUCACUUAAGGAUAAAACUGAAUUUGAUUCUUUAGCACUGUCCCUAACCUUUCUCCAUAUUUUUUUAACCAUGCUGUUUAAUGUGAGGUAGGUAACAAAUUUUUAGAAGCUUUGCAUGAUUUUCUAACAGAAAUGAGAAUAGUAAAAGACUAAUAUUUAUAUAGUCUUUAAAGUUUAAAGAGUGUUUCCAUUUAUAUUAUCUCCACUGAUCAUUAAAGCAUCCCUGUGAAUUAUUAGGGCAAGUAGUGUUUGAAGAACAAACAGAACCAAUGAUUAGGAGACUGACCCAAGAUCAGGCAUCUGGUUGAUGACAUAGCCAGGACUCGAUUCUCAGUCUUAACACUCCAGAUCUUAUGUCAUUUUGAAAAAUGACCAACAGCUCUCAAAAAUGUGUCCAUCUGGUUUUAAAUAAGAUGUCCUAAAUUUUAAAAAAAUGCAAAGUGCAAAGAUUGUAAGCAUAUUUACCUGAGAAUUAAGAUUUGGAAGACCCACAUUCCUGCUCUUUCAUUCUGUAGUUGAGAUCUUCUCGAAGAUCAAGUGAGGUGCUAAAGUAAAUAGUUUAUAUCAAACACACACACACACCUUUAUAAGAAGGAAACCAGUGAAACUGCUAUGACUCUUUGUUAAUAGAAGUUUUUUUAUUUUAAAAAGAGAAUGAUUAUAGGUAUUCUAACAAAUUCUUAUAUUUAAUGCAACCACAUUAAGAAAAUCUAACUUUUGAAAGGCUUCCCAAUGGGACUGUUUAGGCAACUCCCAAUUACCUUUACAAACAGAAAGAAAUCCAAAAUAGAUGAUAUGCUGUGUCCAUUUGUCAUGGAAAUGAUAUUUUUUAUGCUACAUAUUCACCUUCCUAAUUGUACCCAGUCCCAAAGCACAAUGGUGAGGUCUCAGGGAAGAUCCCAGAAUUGUUUUAAAAGAUACAGCCUGAAGACUUUGAGUUUGCUGUGGAAAAGCCACCAUACCCCUCCAAAAAUCCUGGGGUAGCAGCUUAGUGAAAAAUCGGUGUACCCAGUCAGGACUAGGAAGUCAUUAGAUGAAAGACCAUGAAAGAUGAAGGAUCAGGGUCCAAGCCCAAAGGACAUUUUUUCCCAGUAUGUAACUGAACAUGUUAAGCAAUGGCCAAGGUUAUAAUAUUAUUCCUAUGAGAAAAAGGGGUUAUAAACACUUGUAAGCAUAUCAACAAGUUACUAGGCAGUCCGUUGAACUUUGGUGGAGUAUGGACCAUUGCAGUGAUGCUGAAAUCUUGAAAUAAGAUGCACUCUCAGACUUGGGAUUAGAGCACAGAUCACAGAGCUGCUUUCUCCCAGCUAGCACAGGCUCCACACUAGCAGGCAUCUCUUGAAAAGCUCUGUGUUCAUUAAAAAUGUUUUAUGUAUUUACCAGUUUCUCACCCUUUCAAAUGUGAAAAGGAAUUAAAUAUGAAAUGGCUAAUUUAAAAAGUCAGCGUUCUUUUUUUCCAAGCAAACCUUACAUUAAGAGCAGGAAUCCCUGUGCCAAAGAAAUGGUUCCCAAUUAUCCCGUCUUGGGUUUUGUUAUACAUUGUACAGAAGUCAACAAAACGAGUAUGUAACAGAACCUGCCUAAAUAGCAGCCACCCUCAUUAGAAACAGGGAAUUAAUCAGAGGGCGAUUGAAGGAAGCAGUGCCUCACAGGUUUCCCCCUUUUCUUCUUUUCUAAUCAUAGAACAAAAUAUAUGACAUAAAAGGAUCGGAACUAUUAUGCAGUACUCAAUUAGAGGGAGGUGAAUAGGUCUCUAACAUGCUGUUUUAUCAAAAGAGCAGACUGGUGUUUGCAUGACUGUUGUUUCAUUACAGACCCUGUCAUUAAUUCCAUGUGUCAAUACUGCCCUGUAGUACACAGAGCAGACAAGAAAGAAGAGCCCUUGAAAACAAGGGAAUGAUUUUUGAGUCGUUAUCAAGCUAAGUGGCAAGCGGGAAGCUGAAACUCGUAUAGGUAAAUUCGAAGGGACUCUUGGGAGAUCUGCAAGUGGGAAACAAGAAUGCAUUUUACCAACUGCUUAAUUAUGUCCUGUUUUUCAACAAGUACACUUGAAUUGAAUGCUUUGUUUGUAUUGCACAAAAACAUGUGCUGUGGGCAAGAGUAUUCUCUUGCUUCCAGGUCAAGUAAGGUGUUUUAUACACAUAUACAUCUGGCCUAUUCUAUAAUGUGCGAUUGGGUAUGUUAGUGUCUGAGCCCCAAUUUUGCACUGUCAUUUCUGGGGGAAAGUCUUACAUAGGAACCAGAAGCCCUAAAAAGUAGAACCUUGUCUAAGGUUCUGAGAAGUUACAGAAACCCAGGCAUCCCAGAGGACCAUCCUUACAGGGAAAUGGUGGCUCAGGAAAAUGUUAAAAUAUAUCUGGGGGAAAAAAAAACAGACCAGAAAUUUUUAAAUAUGGUAUAAAUCCCAUAAUCUCCCACCCCUAAAUCUUUAAGAAAGUAUUUUUUGGUUUCCAUUAGCAGUUCCAAGGGUUAGGCUGGGGCAAAGUAGGGUUUCUUUUCUUGGACCUGCUUUAUCUAUGUCCUUGUGCCUGGCCAAGCCCUUAUAGAUUAUGGUUCCUUAUCGUUUAGUAAGAUCAAAUUUCUAAAUGAUGUUUCGUUCCAGUUGAACAUUCUUGGAGGCUUAUCUCUUCCCUGGCCAGAUGCCUGAUCAGAUGAGAAGCCCGCCAUGAUACUGUCACAGUGCCUAGAAUGGGCUCUUUAUCCAGUAGACAUCACUGUACUUUUUGAUGAUAACGAGGGCAGUCUUAACUUAUGUUAAGGCCUGUGUAUAGCAUUGAAGAGAGGAGUUGCUUAAACCAAUGGGACUAAAACCUGAUGGGACAAUAACGCCUUUGGAGGAAGCACUCAACCAGUACUCUGUCAUCGAAG